rnacentral:rRNA from 1 species
AUUGAACGCUGGCGGCAGGCCUAACACAUGCAAGUCGAGCGAGCGGCGGACGGGUGAGUAAUGUAUGGGGACUGCCCGAUAGAGGGGGAUAACUACUGGAAACGGUGGCUAAUACCGCAUACGAUCGGAUAACCCAUAUGGGAGUAGCUAGUAGGUGGGGUAAAGGCUCACCUAGGCGACGAUCCCUAGCUGGUCUGAGAGGAUGAUCAGCCACACUGGGACUGAGACACGGCCCAGACUCCUACGGAGGCAGCAGUAGGGAAUAUUGCACAAUGGGCGAAAGUCUGACGCAGCCAGGCCGCGUGUGUGAAGAAGGCUUUAGGGUUGUAAAGUACUUUUAGCGGGGAGGCGUUACCCGCAGAAGAAGCACCGGCUAACUCCGUGCCAGCAGCCGCGGUAAUAC